CAGUUGCGUAUACCAUUCCAAUGACACCCCAUUAAGAAUAUCUUGAAAAAAGUGGAUGAGAAACUUGUCAUCAUGAGCGUACGCAACCAUCUUCCAAAUAAACAUCGUCAAAUGAGUUUUUGGAUAGCUAACCCCUUUGUACUUCUCAAAAUCUGGAAUCUUCAACUUUGGCGGGAUUACGAUGUCUGAAAAUAGGUACAUGUCAACAACAUCCAAACCAUAGGCACUUUUCCUUCCAGGGCUCUUAUUUG
rnacentral:lncRNA from 1 species